rnacentral:lncRNA from 1 species
UUGUGCUUGAUAAUGCCUUGGCAUUAGGUAUGCAACACAGAAAACUGACGUCGAACAAGCCUAAUUUGCGCUUGUGACAUGACUUAGAUGGCAUGCGAGCUAGGACGUCGCUGCUCGAGCAGGGAUCCAACCUAGCCACACAAGCCGAACACCACUCAUGUGCCACGUACACUUGCCUCGCCGAUACAAAGCCAACACCAUCCCCAA